UGACUAACCGUCCAAAUAGGGCCUUUUAGC
rnacentral:piRNA from 1 species